rnacentral:rRNA from 1 species
CAGGGGGAAGGAAAAGCUUUUGCCUUCUCGCUGACGAGCGGCGGACGGGUGAGUAAUGUAUGGGGAUCUGCCCGAUAGAGGGGGAUAACUACUGGAAACGGUGGCUAAUACCGCAUAAUCUCUUAGGAGCAAAGCAGGGGAACUUCGGUCCUUGCGCUAUCGGAUGAACCCAUAUGGGAUUAGCUAGUAGGUGGGGUAAUGGCUCACCUAGGCGACGAUCCCUAGCUGGUCUGAGAGGAUGAUCAGCCACACUGGGACUGAGACACGGCCCAGACUCCUACGGGAGGCAGCAGUGGGGAAUAUUGCACAAUGGGCGCAAGCCUGAUGCAGCCAUGCCGCGUGUAUGAAGAAGGCCCUAGGGUUGUAAAGUACUUUCAGUCGGGAGGAAGGCGUUGAUGCUAAUAUCAUCAACGAUUGACGUUACCGACAGAAGAAGCACCGGCUAACUCCGUGCCAGCCGCCGCGGUAAUACGGAGGGUGCAAGCGUUAAUCGGAAUUACUGGGCGUAAAGCGCAU